UCCAGACUCCUACGGGAGGCAGCAGUGGGGGAUAUUGCACAAUGGGGGAAACCCUGAUGCAGCAACGCCGCGUGAGUGAAGAAGUAUUUCGGUAUGUAAAGCUCUAUCAGCAGGGAAGAGAAUGACGGUACCUGACUAAGAAGCCCCGGCUAACUACGUGCCAGCAGCCGCGGCAAUACGUAGGGGGCGAGCGUUAUCCGGAUUUACUGGGUGUAAAGGGAGCGUAGACGGCUGGUCAAGUCUGAAGUGAAAGCCCGGGGCUUAACCCCGGAACGGCUUUGGAAACUGAGCAGCUAGAGUGCUGGAGAGGUAAGCGGAAUUCCUAGUGUAGCGGUGAAAUGCGUAGAUAUUAGGAGGAACACCAGUGGCGAAGGCGGCUUACUGGACAGUAACUGACGUUGAGGCUCGAAAGCGUGGGGAGCAAACAGGAUUAGAUACCCUCGUA
rnacentral:rRNA from 1 species